CGAACGCUGGCGGCAUGCCUAACACAUGCAAGUCGAACGAGACCUUCGGGUCUAGUGGCGCACGGGUGCGUAACGCGUGGGAACCUGCCCUUAGGUUCGGAAUAACUCCCCGAAAGGGGUGCUAAUACCGGAUAAUGUCUUCGGACCAAAGAUUUAUCGCCUUUGGAUGGGCCCGCGUUGGAUUAGCUAGUUGGUAGGGUAAAAGCCUACCAAGGCGACGAUCCAUAGCUGGUCUGAGAGGAUGAUCAGCCACACUGGGACUGAGACACGGCCCAGACUCCUACGGGAGGCAGCAGUGGGGAAUAUUGGACAAUGGGCGAAAGCCUGAUCCAGCAAUGCCGCGUGAGUGAUGAAGGCCUUAGGGUUGUAAAGCUCUUUUACCCGGGAUGAUAAUGACAGUACCGGGAGAAUAAGCUCCGGCUAGCUCCGUG
rnacentral:rRNA from 1 species